rnacentral:rRNA from 1 species
GGCGGCAGGCUUAACACAUGCAAGUCGAGCGCCCGUAGCAAUACGGGAGCGGCAGACGGGAGAGUAACACGUGGGAACAUGCCCUUCGGUUCGGAAUAACUCAGGGAAACUUGAGCUAAUACCGGAUACGCCCUUACGGGGAAAGAUUUAUUGCCGAAGGAUCGGCCCGCGUCCGAUUAGCUAGUUGGUGAGGUAAUGGCUCACCAAGGCGACGAUCGGUAGCUGGUCUGAGAGGAUGAUCAGCCUCAUUGGGACUGAGACACGGCCCAAACUCCUACGGGAGGCAGCAGUGGGGAAUAUUGGACAAUGGGCGCAAGCCUGAUCCAGCCAUGCCGCGUGGGUGAUGAAGGCCUUAGGGUUGUAAAGCCCUUUCGGCGGGGAAGAUAAUGACGGUACCCGCAGAAGAAGCCCCGGCUAACUUCGUGCCAGCAGCCGCGGUAAUACGAAGGGGGCUAGCGUUGCUCGGAAUCACUGGGCGU